AUUGAACGCUGGCGGCAGGCUUAACACAUGCAAGUCGAGCGGAAGCACAGGGGUUCUUGCUGGCUGGGUGGCGGGCGGCGGGCGGGUGAGUAAUGUCUGUGAAACUGCCUGAUGGAGGGGGAUAACUACUGGAAACGGUUACUAAUACCGCAUAACGUCGGAAGACCAGAGAGGGUGGGAUUCGGGCCUCUUGCCGGCAGAUAUGCCCGGAUGGGAUGAGCUAGUCGGUGGGGUAAUGGCUCACCUAGGCGACGAUCCCUAGCUGGUCUGAGAGGAUGAUCAGCCACACUGGAACUGAGACACGGUCCAGACUCCUACGGGAGGCAGCAGUGGGGAAUAUUGGACAAUGGGCGCAAGCCUGAUGCAGCCAUGCCGCGUGUGUGAAGAAGGCCUUCGGGUUGUAAAGCACUUUCAGCGGGGAGGAAGGUGGUGAGCUUAAUACGCUCAUCAAUUGACGUUACUAGCAGAAGAAGCACCGGCUAACUCCGUG
rnacentral:rRNA from 1 species